CCUACGGGAGGCUGCAGUGAGGAAUAUUGGUCAAUGGAGGAAACUCUGAACCAGCCAUGCCGCGUGGAGGAUGAAGGUCCUCUGGAUUGUAAACUCCUUUUAUAAAAGAAGAAACCCCAGUAUUCUUACUGGGUUGACGGUACUUUAUGAAUAAGCACCGGCUAACUCCGUGCCAGCAGCCGCGGUAAUACGGAGGGUGCAAGCGUUAUCCGGAUUCACUGGGUUUAAAGGGAGCGUAGGUGGGUUGGUAAGUCAGUGGUGAAAUCUCCGAGCUU
rnacentral:rRNA from 1 species